rnacentral:rRNA from 1 species
GAUGAACGCUGGCGGCGUGCCUAAUACAUGCAAGUCGAGCGAACAGAUGAGGCGCUUGCUCCUCUGACGUUAGCGGCGGACGGGUGAGUAACACGUGGAUAACCUACCUAUAAGACUGGGAUAACUUCGGGAAACCGGAGCUAAUACCGGAUAAUAUCUUGAACCGCAUGGUUCAAUAGUGAAAGUCGGUUUUGCUGUCUCUUAUAGAUGGAUCCGCGCCGCAUUAGCUAGUUGGUAGGUAACGGCUUACCAAGGCAACGAUGCGUAGCCGACCUGAUAGGGUGAUAGGCCGCACGGGAGCUGAGACGGGGUCAUGACGACUACGAGAGGCAGCAGUAGGGUAUCGUCCGCAGUGGUCGAGAGCCUGACGGAGCGACGGCGCGUGAGUGAUGAAGGUCUUCGGAGCGUAAAACUGUGUUAUUAGGUGAGAACAAAUGUGGAAGGAACUAUGCAGGUCUUGACAGUAACUAAUCAGAAAGCCACGGCUAACUACGUG